rnacentral:rRNA from 1 species
UACGUAGGGUGCAAGCGUUGUCCGGAAUUAUUGGGCGUAAAGAGCUCGUAGGCGGUUUGUCACGUCGGCCGUGAAAACUCGGGGCUCAACCCCGAGCCUGCGGUCGAUACGGGCAGACUAGAGUGUGGUAGGGGAGACUGGAAUUCCUGGUGUAGCGGUGGAAUGCGCAGAUAUCAGGAGGAACACCGAUGGCGAAGGCAGGUCUCUGGGCCACUACUGACGCUGAGAAGCGAAAGCAUGGGGAGCGAACAGG